rnacentral:rRNA from 1 species
GAUGAACGCUGGCGGCGUGCCUAAUACAUGCAAGUCGAGCGAACGGACGAGAAGCUUGCUUCUCUGAUGUUAGCGGCGGACGGGUGAGUAACACGUGGAUAACCUACCUAUAAGACUGGGAUAACUUCGGGAAACCGGAGCUAAUACCGGAUAAUAUUUUGAACCGCAUGGUUCAAAAGUGAAAGACGGUCUUGCUGUCACUUAUAGAUGGAUCCGCGCUGCAUUAGCUAGUUGGUAAGGUAACGGCUUACCAAGGCAACGAUGCAUAGCCGACCUGAGAGGGUGAUCGGCCACACUGGAACUGAGACACGGUCCAGACUCCUACGGGAGGCAGCAGUAGGGAAUCUUCCGCAAUGGGCGAAAGCCUGACGGAGCAACGCGGCGUGAGUGAGGAAGGUCUUCGGAUCGUAAAACUCUGUUAUUAGGGAAGAACAUAUGUGUAAGUAACUGUGCAAAUCUGACGGUACCUAAUCAGAAAGCCACGGCUAACUACGUG